rnacentral:RNase_P_RNA from 1 species
GCGGCAGACGAGACGAUCGCGUCGGCUUUUGGGCCGCCGAGGAAAGUCCGGGCUCCCGCGGGCAGCGCAGCACCUAACGGGUGUCCGCCGUGGGCGGCAAUUGUCUUUCUCCGUCAGGAGAAACAACUGCGGCCGCAAGGCGAGGACUAGUGCCACAGAGACGAUGUACAGGCGGCUAUUUGGUAGUCCGUUUAGGCGGACAGCCGGACAAGCCGUGCUGUAGUGAAAAGAGGUAAACUCUGCGCGGAGCAAGAGCAAAUAGAGGACGAGAGCGCCCGCCUCGUUAACAGUCCCGGGUUGCUUGCUUGAGCCGGUCGGUGACGGCCGGCCUAGAUAAAUGAUCGUCUGAGAAACAGAACCCGGCUUAAUGGACUGCCGUAGCA